rnacentral:rRNA from 1 species
UAUCAAAGCUCCGGCGGUACAGGAUGGACCCGCGUCUGAUUAGCUAGUUGGUAAGGUAACGGCUUACCAAGGCGACGAUCAGUAGCCGACCUGAGAGGGUGAUCGGCCACAUUGGAACUGAGACACGGUCCAAACUCCUACGGGAGGCAGCAGUGGGGAAUAUUGCACAAUGGGCGAAAGCCUGAUGCAGCAACGCCGCGUGAGCGAAGAGAGGCCUUCGGGUCGUAAAGCUCUGUCCUCAAGGAAGAUAAUGAC